AACGAACGCUGGCGGCAUGCCUAACACAUGCAAGUCGAACGAGAUCUUCGGGUCUAGUGGCGCACGGGUGCGUAACGCGUGGGAAUCUGCCCUUUGGUUCGGAAUAACAGUUGGAAACGACUGCUAAUGCCGGAUGAUGACGAAAGUCCAAAGAUUUAUCGCCAGAGGAUGAGCCCGCGUAGGAUUAGCUAGUUGGUGUGGUAAAGGCGCACCAAGGCGACGAUCCUUAGCUGGUCUGAGAGGAUGAUCAGCCACACUGGGACUGAGACACGGCCCAGACUCCUACGGGAGGCAGCAGUGGGGAAUAUUGGACAAUGGGCGAAAGCCUGAUCCAGCAAUGCCGCGUGAGUGAUGAAGGCCUUAGGGCUGUAAAGCUCUUUUACCCGGGAUGAUAAUGACAGUACCGGGAGAAUAAGCUCCGGCUAACUCCGUGCCAGCCGCCGCAGUAA
rnacentral:rRNA from 1 species